rnacentral:tRNA from 1 species
CUUGGGCAGGGCCGCAUUGUGCGCGGCGCGCAGGUCCGGCGCAUCGGCCACGCUGGUCAGGUGCGAGACCUUGGCCCAGGUC